GGCUGCUGGCGGAGAUUCCUGUGGGGAUGGAGAAAGAGACAGGAGUGUAAGCGCCAGUGGUGCGUGAGCUUCCUUGGAGCCUGUGGUCUUGGACAUCCCUGGUGAUUAGCGGUUUUCUUCUUAAUUUCAUAGAAGAUGUUUCCUACUCCCGAGGAUUUACUACCUGGGAUUUACCUGCACACUCUAAUGUGCUCCUGUCUUGAAGAGUCAACUGUCACUCCCCAGUUUUAAACUUAGAACACCCCAAGAAAGAGCAGCAACACCGUUCCCCAUACAACAAACUGAGGAAAGGCCCAAAAAAGGUAACUUUAAUUAAAAACUUGAUAGGGACGACUGGAAAACAAACAAGUUUUAAAUCUUUACAAAGUUCUUACUUUGCUUCUUCUAAACCAGGCGUCCUCAAACUACAGCCCUCAGGCCACCUAGCACAUUUAU